rnacentral:ncRNA from 1 species
CUCUCCAAAGUCAGAUGCUAUAAUCUCAAGGGAUUUUAGCCAGCACAGAGAGGAUAAAGGGGUCUGCUUCCGUGCCGACAAGGCAAAAAACAAGAUGAAGCUGUGCCUGCCGUUAGUAGAUCCCGAACGCCGCAAAGCACAG